CCAUUUGAUUUUCUCCAUGACUAUGGAUAAACUAUGUUCAAUAUAGCUAUGUUUACAUUGUUGCAUGUUGUGGAAUUGAAACCAAUGACAAAUCAUGUUGGUAAUAUUCAAUAUAGUUAUCUUUUUAUCUCAGAUAUGAUGAAUUUCCAAAUUUUAUGCAGGGAACUUUAGAUUGUAGGAUAUGAUAGAAGAUUAUCAAUUUGGUUUGGGGCCUUAGAUCUAUAUGCGACAUGAUUUCCUAAAGAGGGAGGGACCUGAAGUUUGAAGUUAUCAACCAAAUUAAUGGAAAAAAGGAGCUGUGAUUAUUUUUGAAUUAUUGUUUAGAGGAAGAGAAAAAUAGAUUGAGUCUAUGUAUUGAUGUUUUUCUUUAAAGUAUAUCCUAAUGUACUCUUGCAUCCUUAUUGUGCAUUGAAACUUUUUUUUCUUCAUAUUGUCAUGAUAAUGAUAAUUUAUGUGGUUGUUUUUGUAAAUUGAAUUUGGCUUCAUAUGAUAUAAUGAGAUUGGCCUAGAAAAGGCUUAUACAUUGAAGGUUGAUGAGAGGAAAUGAAUGAAGAAAUAAUUCUCAUAUGUUGAAGAAUACUAUUUUGGAACUUGCUAUCAUGUCCUUCAUAAAAUUCUUCUAUCAUCACUAAAAUGUCCCAUAGCACUUCUAUCUAUUCUCAAAUAGUAGUAAUCUUCUUUCUAUAAAUGUCAUGGUCAUGAAAGUUCCAUUAUAAAAUUCGGUGUGAUGAUUCAGUUGAAGUGUGCAUAUGGUCUGCAUUUAUGUUUGCAAUGAUCAAUUAUGUUUAACCCACUUAAUUAAGAUUAAAUUAUAUGAUGUCUUUAAUUUAAAACAUCCUAUAUUUGCAAUGAUAUAUUAUGAUUAACCCACUUAAUUGACAGCAUCCAUGAUUGAAAUAAAUUUGGUGUUCCGCCAAAUGAACCAAUUUGAUUAAUUUUUAUAUGCUUAUGACUAACUUCAUUUGGCUCAUAGCAUCCAUGAUUGAUAACAACCAUGAUUGUUAUGUAUAUGACGUUCCUCCAAACCCGUGCAUCGCACGGGGCGGUGACUAGUU
rnacentral:lncRNA from 1 species